UACGUAGGGUGCGAGCGUUAAUCGGAAUUACUGGGCGUAAAGCGUGCGCAGGCGGUUCGUUGUGUCGGCGGUGAAAGCCCCGGGCUCAACCUGGGAAUGGCCGUUGAAACUGGCGAACUGGAGUGUGGCAGAGGGGGGUGGAAUUCCGCGUGUAGCAGUGAAAUGCGUAGAGAUGCGGAGGAACACCGAUGGCGAAGGCAGCCCCCUGGGCCAAUACUGACGCUCAGGCACGAAAGCGUGGGGAGCAAACAGG
rnacentral:rRNA from 1 species